UACGGGGGGGGCAAGCGUUGUUCGGAAUUACUGGGCGUAAAGGGCUCGUAGGCGGCCAACUAAGUCAGACGUGAAAUCCCUCGGCUUAACCGGGGAACUGCAUCUGAUACUGGAUGGCUUGAAUUCGGGAGAGGGAUGCAGAAUUCCAGGUGUAGCGGUGAAAUGCGUAGAUAUCUGGAGGAAUACCGGUGGCGAAGGCGGCAUCCUGGACCGACAUUGACGCUGAGGAGCGAAAGCUAGGGGAGCAAACGGG
rnacentral:rRNA from 1 species